rnacentral:rRNA from 1 species
GCGAAAACUUUACAAUGCUGGCAACAGCGAUAAGGGAACCUCGAGUGCCAGGUUACAAAUCUGGCUGUCGAGAUGCCUAAAAGCAUUUCAUAGCAAGGGCCGGGCAAGACCGGUGCCAGCCGCCGCGGUAACACCGGCGGCUCGAGUGGUAACCGUUAUUAUUGGGUCUAAAGGGUCUGUAGCCGGCCGGAUAAGUCUCUUGAGAAAUCUGGCAGCUUAACUGUCAGGCUUUCAGGAGAUACUGUCUGGCUCGAGGCCGGGAGAGGUGAGAGGUACUUCAGGGGUAGGGGUGAAAUCUUGUAAUCCUUGAAGGACCACCAGUGGCGAAGGCGUCUCACCAGAACGGACCUGACGGCAAGGGACGAAAGCUAGGGGAGCAAACA